GACGAACGCUGGCGGCGUGCUUAACACAUGCCAGUCGAACGGAAAGGCCCUGCUUUUGUGGGGUGCUCGAGUGGCGAACGGGUGAGUAACACGUGAGUAACCUGCCCUUGACUUUGGGAUAACUUCAGGAAACUGGGGCUAAUACCGGAUAGGAGCUCCUGCUGCAUGGUGGGGGUUGGAAAGUUUCGGCGGUUGGGGAUGGACUCGCGGCUUAUCAGCUUGUUGGUGGGGUAGUGGCUUACCAAGGCUUUGACGGGUAGCCGGCCUGAGAGGGUGACCGGCCACAUUGGGACUGAGAUACGGCCCAGACUCCUACGGGAGGAAGCAGUGGGGAAUAUUGCACAAUGGGCGGAAGCCUGAUGCAGCAACGCCGCGUGCGGGAUGACGGCCUUCGGGUGGUAAACCGCUUUCGCCUGUGACGAAGCGUGAGUGACGGAAAUGGGUAAAGAAGCACCGGCUAACUACGU
rnacentral:rRNA from 1 species